rnacentral:lncRNA from 1 species
CUGACUGUUUAUAUUAGUUGGUCGACAGAGAGUAUAUUUUUGAUUUUCGUCCUUCUGAAAAUAAUAUUAUUCUAACUGCGCGUAUAAGUCAAUAAAGACCGAACGCCAUUAAUAGAAAAAGACAUGAAUGGAGCUUGACGGCCACAAGGACAAAGCAUGUAAGUCAUUGAAACGAUUUAUCAAUUCUUGUUGUAUAUUUGUCAAUUUGUGUUGCAACUGACUAUCAAGAUUCUUUACAGUCGAUUUCACAUAACUUUUGCCAAAAUGUUCUGAACUUUGUUUCAAAGUUUGCAAGUUCAUUUUGAAGUUCCAAAGUUUGAAGUUUGCAAGUUCAUAAGUUCACAAACUGGUUUGUAAACUAAGUAUUUGAUUGGCUUCUUUCAAGUCAUGGACCAAUCAGAGGUCUUGUUUACAAACCGGCUUGUGAAUUUGAAUGUUGAACUUGUGAACUUCGAAACGAAUUUUGUGAACUUCGGAACGAAGUUUGGAACAUUUUGGCAAAAGUUUUGUGAAAUCGACUGUAAAACACAAGUAUUAUAAUAAUCUCCAGUAAGUAAACUUAAACAACUGAAGCUGAACAGGCCAAAACGUGUACAAAUAACUUCAAGUAGUUAGCAGAGAUAAGGAAUACAUAUUUAUUGUAUGUUGCUGUUCACUUUCUAGUUUAAGUUUAAUACAGUACUACUUGAUGCUAUCCAACUUGAGAAUCAAUGUGAAAUGGUGAAGUUAUGUGGUAAAUACAGAUCAUAUGUGAGACAAACAGGCCAGAAUUGUUAUUUGCACAAUAAUUGGG